UUAGGAAUAUUCGUCAAUGGGGGAAACCCUGAACGAGCAAUGCCGCGUGAGUGAUGAAGGUCUUUGGAUUGUAAAACUCUGUUGUAUGGAAAAAAUAGCUAGGUUAGGAAAUGAACUUAGUGUGAUGGUACCAUACCAGAAAGCCCCGGCUAACUACGUGCCAGCAGCCGCGGUAAUACGUAGGGGGCGAGCGUUAUCCGGAUUUAUUGGGCGUAAAGCGUGCGUAGGCGGUUUAUUAAGUUUAAGAUAAAAGCCCGGGGCUUAACUCCGGUUCGUCUUAAAAACUGGUAGACUUGAGUGUGGUAGAGGUAAAUGGAAUUUCUAGUGUAGCGGUGAAAUGCGUAGAUAUUAGAAGGAACACCAGUGGCGAAGGCGAUUUACUGGGCCACAACUGACGCUGAGGCACGAAAGCGUGGGUAGCAAAUAGG
rnacentral:rRNA from 1 species